UACACUUUAAAUCCUUUAACGAGGACCAAUUGGAGGGCAAGUCUGGUGCCAGCAGCCGCGGUAAUUCCAGCUCCAAUAGCGUAUAUUAAAGUUGUUGCGGUUAAAAAGCUCGUAGUUGAAUUUGUGUUCCGCACUGUCGGUUCACCGCCCGCGGUGCUAACUGGCAUGUAUGUGGAACGUCCUGCCGGUGGAUGUUUAAGGUAUCUAAUUUGAUUUCGGUCUUAUUUUUUACCUGCAUCCGACUUUUAUAAAUCCUGUCGCGGUGCUCUUAACUGAGUGUCGAGGCGGGCCGGCACGUUUACUUUGAACAAAUUAAAGUGCUCAAAGCAGGCUAAUUAAUGCCUGAAUAAUUAGUGCAUGGAAUAAUGGAACAGGACCUUGGUUCUAUUUUGUUGGUUUUCGGAACCCCAAGGUAAUGAUUAAUAGGGACAGAUGGGGGCAUUCGUAUUGCGACGUUAGAGGUGAAAUUCUUGGAUCGUCGCAAGACGGACUAAAGCGAAAGCAUUUGCCAAAGAUGUUUUCAUUAAUCAAGAACGAAAGUCAGAGGUUCGAAGGCGAUCAGAUACCGCCCUAGUUCUGACCAUAAACGAUGCCAGCUAGCGAUCCGCCAAAGUUCCUCCGAUGACUUGGCGGGCAGCUUCCGGGAAACCAAAGCUUUUGGGUUCCGGGGGAAGUAUGGUUGCAAAGCUGAAACUUAAAGGAAUUGACGGAAGGGCACCACCAGGAGUGGAGCCUGCGGCUUAAUUUGACUCAACACGGGAAACCUCACCAGGCCCAGACACUGGAAGGAUUGACAGAUUGAGAGCUCUUUCUUGAUUCAGUGGGUGGUGGUGCAUGGCCGUUCUUAGUUGGUGGAGCGAUUUGUCUGGUUAAUUCCGAUAACGAACGAGACUCUAGCCUACUAAAUAGACGUUAAACUUUCCAGUAUCUCGAAGGCUCACAUCUCUCGUUUCUUUACUGCAUAACUCUGUUCAUUUCGGUGUUACAGUAGGUUGUGUAGUGGGCGGGAGUUUGUGGUUUUUACUACUGGCGUACAUAUAAUUCUUCUUAGAGGGACAGGCGGCUUCUAGUCGCACGAGAUUGAGCAAUAGCAGGUCUGUGAUGCCCUUAGAUGUUCUGGGCCGCACGCGCGCUACACUGAAGGAAUCAGCGUGUCUUCCCUGGCCGAAAGGUCCGGGUAACCCGCUGAACCUCCUUCGUGCUAGGGAUUGGGGCUUGCAAUUAUUCCCCAUGAACGAGGAAUUCCCAGUAAGCGCGAGUCAUAAGCUCGCGUUGAUUACGUCCCUGCCCUUUGUACACACCGCCCGUCGCUACUACCGAUUGAAUGAUUUAGUGAGGUCUUCGGACUGGUACGCGGUAAUGUUUCUACAUUACCGAUGUCGCUGGGAAGAUGACCAAACUUGAUUAUUUAGAGGAAGUAAAAGUCGUAAC
rnacentral:rRNA from 1 species